AAGAGUGGAAAAACUCCCUUGACGGUACUUAAUGAAUAAGCCCUGGCUAAUUAUGUGCCAGCAGCCGCGGUAAUACAUAAGGGGCGAGCGUUAUCCGGAAUUAUUGGGCGUAAAGGGUGCGUAGGCGGUUUAAUAAGUCUAUAGUUUAAUUUCAGCGCUUAACGCUGUUGCGCUAUAGAAACUGUUUUACUAGAGUGAGUUAGAGGCAAGCGGAAUUCCAUGUGUAGCGGUAAAAUGCGUAAAUAUAUGGAGGAACACCAGAGGCGUAGGCGGCUUGCUGGGACUUUACUGACGCUGAGGCACGAAAGCGUGGGGAGCAAACAGGAUUAGAUACCCUGGUAGUCCACGCCGUAAACGAUGAGUACUAAGUGUCGGGUAAAACCGGUACUGAAGUUAACACAUUAAGUACUCCGCCUGAGUAGUACGUACGCAAGUAUGAAACUUAAAGGAAUUGACGGGACUCCGCACAAGCGGUGGAUCAUGUUGUUUAAUUCGAAGAUACACGAAAAACCUUACCAGGUCUUGACAUUUUCUUGCGAAGUUAUAGAAAUAUAAUGGAGGUUAUCAGGAAAACAGGUGGUGCAUGGUUGUCGUCAGCUCGUGUCGUGAGAUGUUAGGUUAAGUCCUAAAACGAGCGCAACCCUUGUCGUUAAUUGCCAGCAUGUAAUGAUGGGGACUUUAACGAGACUGCCAAUGAAAAAUUGGAGGAAGGUGGGGAUUACGUCAAAUCAUCAUGCCCCUUAUGAUCUGGGCUACAAACGUGAUACAAUGGUUGAUACAAAGAGUAGCUGAAACGCGAGUUCUUAGCCAAUCUCACAAAAUCAAUCUCAAGUUCGGAA
rnacentral:rRNA from 1 species